AUGCAGUCAGUGUCUGUAUCACUGUGGAACACUUUCGGUGGUGGUACCAAACUCAUCGUAGACUUGGGCGUGGUUCGUCCCUCCCUGACCAUCCUACUCCCCUCCAGUGAGCAGGAGGACCAGGGUGAUGUUGUCCUAGUGUGCCUGGCCAACAGGGGCUUCCCAGGGGACUGGAAGCUGGGUAUGAGGCUGGGGUCCGGGGGGUCCUUGAUGGGUAGCCAGAGUCAGGAGGUCCUGGAGAAAGACGGACACUACAGCUGGAGCAGCAGCCUGACCCUCCCAGCCAACCAGUGGAGGAAGGCGGGCUCAGUCACCUGUGAGGCCACCCUAAAGGACCAGACCCCUGUCACUCAGACAUUGGAGACACAACAGUGUUCCCAGUAGACACACUGUAAUAACUACCAUGAUAUGUCACUCUAUCAUUCUCAGUAUCAGAUCUGGAAAUAGGAGAAAUUGACAAAAUAAAAAUAAAAUCAUUUAUUUCAAAUGAGGUGUCCUUGAUUUCUAUAGUGAAAAUAAAUUAUUGAAAAUA